rnacentral:pre_miRNA from 1 species
AAUACAAGGGAUUUUGAGUUUUCGCUUGCAACGUUUGACCACUCGUUUUAUUCAAAAUUGUUUAAAAUUAUUAUUUAUUUUAUUUGUGACUUACUUUAUUAUCUAUAGUACUUUAAGCACAACUUUUCAUUUUUUAUAUUUGUAAAAAAAUUUUGAAUAAGACGAGUGAUCAAACAUUGCAAGCAAAAACUUAAA